GAUGAACGCUAGCGGCAGGCCUAACACAUGCAAGUCGAACGGUAACAGGGAAAAGCUUGCUUUUCCGCUGACGAGUGGCGCACGGGUGCGUAACGCGUAUACAAUCUACCUCUUACAGGGGGAUAGCCUUUAGAAAUGAAGAUUAAUACCCCAUGGCAUUAUGAACCGGCAUCGGUUUGUAAUUAAAGUUUCGGCGGUAGGAGAUGAGUAUGCGUUCUAUUAGCUAGUAGGUGUGGUAACGGCACACCUAGGCAACGAUAGAUAGGGGCCCUGAGAGGGGGAUCCCCCACACUGGUACUGAGACACGGACCAGACUCCUACGGGAGGCAGCAGUGAGGAAUAUUGGACAAUGGGCGGAAGCCUGAUCCAGCCAUGCCGCGUGCAGGAAGACUGCCCUAUGGGUUGUAAACUGCUUUUGUACGGGAAGAAACCCAUCUACGUGUAGAUGGCUGACGGUACCGUAAGAAUAAGCAUCGGCUAACUCCG
rnacentral:rRNA from 1 species